GUGGGACAGUGUGAGCAAAAGCGACGAUGUCUAUCUAACUGGUAGCGAGAGUUGUGUAUUGCUCUGGAAAUAGUUUUUGUGCAUAUAGUGGAGAUAUUAAGAAAUCAAUCAUUGCACGAAAGAAAAGGGUGAUAUUUUUGAGAGAUUUUAAUUUGCAGUUAUGUGAUUUUUGACGGAAAUUUACCGAAACAAGAUAAAAAUGUUAAGUGGCGGUAUUUAUUGGUGACGUAGUCUGCAUUAUAAUACCUGUACCAAGUUCUGCAUGACCUUCCAAGGCCCCAAUUAAAAACAUGAUAGACUUGCCUUGCCGAAUGUGGCGCAUCAUUCCCGGACAGAAAAUCCAAGCUCAACCACUAGACUGACCCAGGAAAUAUAUCUUCAAAGGAAAACUAAAUAUUAACACACACACACAGCAUCAAAAAUGUCAGCUAGCCAACUUUUGGAUAAUUGUGUCUUGGUUAACAGGAGGGUGGAACAGAGGUCAGAACGAAGUAUUACUCAUACUGAAGUUACUCAAAGGAGAGUGUUACAAGAUCAGGGCGCAGACAUGCAGCACUACAAGGGACCAGACGUGUCAAGUCUUAACGAGGGCAACUAUCAUACCCACAGUAAUGGCCACUCAGAACAUUCCCCAAACUCAAGUCGAAUGUCUGUGCAUAGCGACGAACCGUUAGUAAGAACGCAGAAGCAGCAGACUACGCAACAAGUGACCACUGUUACCAAAGUGGUCAGGGAAGUCCAGCAAAUAGGAGAACAGUCAGGGGAAUAUAUACCUAUUUCUUUAGGUUCCUACCCUCACGGGUCACAUUAUUCAGACUAUAUUGAUCAGCCUCCUCACCACAUGUAUUCUCAAUACCAUCAACAUCCGCAUUACCAGGAUUUUGAGCCCUACCCCAGUCCUUAUGGGACAUAUAUGGGUUACUCUGGUGGAGCCGAGCGACCUCCUACUCCUCCUAGUCCCAGCGAACACAGCGCAGACCCUUCGCCCCUCCCCAUGUCAGCUCAACCACCUUCUGCUUAUUUAGGCUCAGGAUAUGAUGAGCUACCUGAACACUAUAUGGUGACACCUUCACCUGGAGGUCCUAUAGGUAUAGAUCCUUAUCAAGACGACCCAGGGGUUGUCUACGGUUAUGUUUCACCUUCUCCAUAUGGAACAGUUCCUCUGUCGAGAAAUUAUGUAGAUAGCUUAAAUGGGCCCGUAUCUGUUGCUCCUAGUAUGAGAAUGUUUGAAGAGGAAGACCUCUCAAAGCAUAUAAAUAAAAUGUCUUUGCAUGGACACAAUGUUGGACUGCCUCCGCAUGAAAGGGUUCACAUUUCUUCGCCAGGCAGCGUGGUAGGUGACGACGAGGCUCGGGGAAUGCGCUGGAGGGACCCAAACCUUCCAGAAGUCAUAGGGUUUUUAAAUAAUCCUAAUAAUGUGAUUAAAGCUAACGCGGCAGCCUAUUUACAGCAUCUGUGUUAUAUGCACGACCCCAACAAACAAAAAACUAGGGCACUAGGUGGAAUUCCACCUUUAGUCAAGCUUCUCACUCAUGAUAGUAUAGAGGUAUACAGAAAUGCAUGUGGCGCGCUUCGAAACCUUUCAUUUGGGCGGCAAAAUGAUGAAAAUAAAAGGGCAAUAAAGAAUGCUGGUGGCAUUCCGGCUCUUGUUACUUUGUUGCGACGGGCAGGUGAGGCAGAAAUUAAAGAGUUGGUAACUGGAGUCAUUUGGAACUUAUCAUCGUGUGAAGAUCUUAAGCGAAAUAUUAUAGAUGAUGGUGUUUUAACUAUAGUUACUUAUAUAAUAAUUCCACAUUCCGGCUGGGAUCCACAGGGAAAUCAUGGCGAGACGUGCUGGUCUACGGUGUUUAGGAAUGCCUCUGGAGUUCUUCGAAAUGUCAGUUCAGCUGGAGAAUAUGCAAGAAAAAAUUUAAGAGAGUGUGAGGGACUUGUCGAUUCGUUACUGUUUGUCGUUCGCUGUGCCAUAGAAAAGUCAAAUAUCGGCAACAAAAUCGUGGAAAACUGCGUCUGCAUAUUAAGAAAUCUUUCAUAUAGAUGUCAGGAAGUUGAGGACCCGAAUUAUGAUAAAAACCCCCUUCCCACUCAAAGUCGAGUGGCAGCUAGUAAUUCGAAAGGUGAAAAUUUAGGUUGUUUUGGCGGUAGCAAAAAGAAAAAAGAAGGCAGCUCAUCUGAAAGUAAAGAAGGCAGCUUUACGAAUUCCUCAGCUUCGAAUUCCGGUAACCGUGCAGAACCAGUCAAGGGCAUGGAACUCUUAUGGCAACCAGAUGUAGUCCAGUCAUACUUGGCUUUGCUACAGAGCUGCUCGAAUCCAGAAACUCUUGAGGCCGCAGCCGGAGCACUUCAGAAUCUAGCAGCUUGUUACUGGCAGCCAAGUAUUGAAAUCCGUGCUGCAGUUCGCAAAGAGAAGGGUCUACCAAUAUUGGUUGAGCUUCUACGAAUGGAGGUCGAUAGGGUGGUUUGUGCGGUAGCUACAGCACUUAGAAACUUGGCAAUAGACCAGCGUAAUAAAGAGCUUAUUGGCAAAUACGCUAUGCGGGAUCUCGUUCAAAAGUUACCAUCAGGAAACCCUCAACAUGAUCAGGGUACUUCUGAUGAUACCAUUGCUGCUGUCCUUGCUACGUUGAAUGAGGUAAUAAAGAAAAAUGCUGAAUUCUCUAGAUCUCUUCUAGAAGCUGGUGGGGUUGAAAGACUGAUGUCGAUAACUAGGCAACGACAAAAAUACACCCCUAGAGUUCUCAAAUUUGCUGGGCAAGUUCUUUUUACUAUGUGGCAGCACCAGGACCUCCGGGACGUUUAUAAAAAACACGGUUGGAAAGAACAAGACUUCGUCACGAAAACGGUGGCAGCAAGAAAUGCAGGGCCGAAUUCACCUAACAACGCAAAUAGCACUUUGAACAGGCCGAUGGCAUCACAAAGUGGUACUAGAUAUGAGGAUCGUACAAUGAAAAGGGCACCAGGGCCUAGAGUUUUCAGGGAUGAUAUUCCAAUGGCAGAUAUGGCAUAUCCUGAAAAUGCACAGAUAAUGGGCCGACCGUACCCGUCAGGCUCCAAUCCGCCACCAGUAAGUCAUUAAGAAAAAACGACCUUUUUCCUUUUAUCUCAACUCAUAACCUCUCCCCUCCAUAGUUUUUGAUCCACGCGUCCAUGUCAAUUCGUAACUUCUCUCUUUAUAAAUAGUGUUAUUAUCGAAUUAUAUACAUACUAUGUACUAAGCGCUUUUGUUUAAGCCAUUUUUGUAAAUUAAUCGGACUAAAAGGCACAUACUUGCUCAAUGCGUAGGACUAUUACAAUGAUAAUAUUGUUGUUUGACUUAAAUAGACUGUCUAUUUAUUUGCAUUACAUUACGUAGCAGACAUGUACUAAACAAAGCAGUUUAAACCCUUGUUGUAAAAAGAAAAUAUAAAAAAUUGUUCAAAAUUAACUAGAAAAGCAUUAAUUUGAUGUAGGUGACCUAGGUGGCAAAACAUUUAUUAUUGAUGAGCUAUAGGCCCUUACAUCUGGGAUAUGUGUACUAGACACACCUUAAUUAUUUGAUUCUCUAUAUUCUAUUAGUGCCUAAUAAGAUUUAUAUCAGUGACUAUAGAUUUCAAUAGAACAUAAUAUUUUAGGUGGCAGCUAAUCCUGUAGCACAUAAAACAAGUUAAACAUGAAUAUUAUUUAUAUACUUAGUAUGUCUGUGAUUAGACCUAACACUUUUUUAACGUUUUUCUUUAUAUACUGUUAUUUCAAAAUAUAUACAUAUUUUAAUAUUAAGUAGAUUUUGUUUCAGUGCUAAAAUAUGACCAAAUUGUGGUUUCAGGUAUCUAUAAUACUACCAUUGUAUAUUAAUUAUUUAAGAAAUUUUUGUAGAAACAAAAAUAUUUGAUGCAAGGUCUUAACUGAAAUUGAACAGGUUUAAAGCUUAUCAAAGGGCGUUUCAAAGUUAAAUUUUCAACGAAAAUAAGGACCAAAAUUUUCAAUUUAGUACCUACAUGAUAUUAGACCUUAGUUGCUGUCUUAAUCUUUUAUACUACAAAAUUUAUUGUAAUUUUUUUUGUAUUUAAACAUUUUUUUUUCUAAACCGUUUUAAAUACUAAUACUGGUUGUAUGAGAGAUGAUUUAGUAGCAUGUCUGUGUCUAUAUUAGAUAGAAAUUAUUUUCGAAGUUAAAAGAAGAAUCAAAUAUAAUUGAAACAAAACGUCUGGUGUUAUAUGUAUUAGUAACUAAACAUUGUUGGCCUUUGAAUAGGUUACGUUUAUUAGCUAAAAAACGCCUAAAACCCCCCUAAAUUAUGGCUAUAUAUACAUAUAUGUAUAUAUAAAUAUACAAUCAUAUUGGUAAAGAAAAAAAAUCUGAGAAAAGAGUGUAUAUAGUUAAUAUAUAAUACACUUUUUAGCAAGUGAAAUUAUUUUUGUCUUAUUUAUCGUUGGGUUAAUAUUUCAAAAACUUAUUUUAGGGCAUUGCAAAAUAAAAAAUUUAAGUAAUUUAACUUACACAACAGGUCUAACGAUCUCUCAAAAGUCCAUUUAAGUAAUAUGCAGAAAAAGUCUCUCAUUGAUGGAAUAUAGAGAAUGGAUUUUAUAUAAAAUAUUUUUCAUAUCUGCUUAUAACAUUUAUCAAAUAAUAAGGGAGAACUGCUGUUCAUAAAUGUUUAGAGUAUAGCUGUCCUAGGUACAUAUUAGGAUACUUAAAGAUAUAUUAAAAUUGGGGUAGUGUAAUGGUCACUUUGUUGUAGUUUUCAUACAAAUUAUAUUUACAUGAUUAAAUACAUGAUAUAUAACGUACUUCUUAUUAUAUUCUUAGGGUGCUAAUAGGUAUCUAACCAAAGCUAAAUACACGUUUAAUGCUAGCUGUUUGAUAGGGUAUCAUAAUGAAAUAAUAGUAGGAUAUUUGUUUAGUUUUAAAUAUAUACAAGGUGAUUUAAAAACGGUAAAGUACAGAUAUUUAAGUGCAUAUUAAAUCUGAAAUUUUAGGUCACCCUGUCCCUAAACCAUAUUCAACACGUACAUCUUCUUUUGUAAAAUAUUUCAAAAACACUUGCAUUGUAACUUGCCAUACAAAUUUACAUCAUUUUAAAAAUAUUUAUUUGAAUAUUUUACAGUUUUUAUUUUUUACUUAUUUAUAUGUAUCUAACUAUAUUUGUAACACAUUUUGGCUUGUAGUAUUAUGAAAUUAUUGCUUGGUUCACUUGCAGCUUUAUGCUAUAUCUACUUGUCAUUUCAUUUUAUCAAGGGUAGGUAUUUAAUUUAUUAAUGAAUUUUAGUAAAUGAGCCAAUUUUAACUGUUGGUUAAUUACAGAUUGUGAUUCCAGUUAUUUAAUCCAUUUAUUUGAUAAAUUUUAAGUUACUAUUUAAAAAACCGAAACUUUCGGUAACUCGAGAAAUUCGGUUUUCUUAAAUUUUUCUAAUAAACUAGUAGAACCAAACCUCUCAUAAACAGUCGAAACUCCUAUAUUGUAUUAUAUUUUAAUAUUAAUUGACAUUUGUUGUUUUUUUUUUAUUUUAAUGCGAAAAAAAAGCAAAAAUAUUUAAAAUUAUGUAUGCCAAAAGUUGAAUGUACAACGUAAAAUAAAAAAUUUAAAAGCUCUUAGCAUCAUAGAAUUUACGUUAUAUGUUACCCUCGAUAAAAUAGAGAAUGUUUUGCGAUGUAAUUAACCAUAAGUUUUUAAUGUGCAACAGUUCAAUAAAGUGUUUGUGACUAUACAGAUCAAAAUCAUCAUAAGUUUGAUCAUUAAGUAAGAUAUAAAUAUUAAGACAAAAAAGAGCAUUCCACAGUGUCUUUAUUGAUGUUUAUACACAUAAUAUAGGCGUAAGCGAAAAUACCCUGUAUAUCUCUUCCCAUCGUGAACUAUUGAUGAUUUUGCUUUCCAUUUUUCUCUCGUAUACAUGUAUAAUCAAAUUGUCCGUUUGGUGUAUUCAGUUUUUCAAAAUCUAUGUAUAUAAAAUAUGCAAGUGCCGUGUAGAUGUGCAGGCCAGGCGACAAAACUUUAAUUGACAGUAAACCAUUGAAUAAAACAAUAAUCAGGGUUAGUCAAUUAUUUGUUUUUUUUUUUAAUAUGCCACCAUAAUAAUUCCCUAAUUUAAAAUGUCAACAUUGCUAUUUAGUUUAAUCGUAGUAAAAUAGUACUAGAUUUCUAAAAUUAUCAGCUAACAUGCACCAAAACACCUAAAAUAAUAAGCAUUAUCUUGUUUAACAAUUUAGCGAGUAUAGAUUCCUGUCCUUUCCCAAGACCUUACUAACCCUAUUUACCUCCUAACCCAAAAAAGGAGUUUUAAAGCUAGGUAAGAGUUGGAGCUACCUCGUACAAUCCCGGAAAAUGCAAUAUGGGCGACCAGGUUCCAAUGCAGAAGGUGAUAGCCAAGGUUCAGGGCGGCUCACAGCCGGAGCCAUUGUACGCGCAGGUCAACAUGGAGAAAAAGCGCAAUAGACAACCAAGUGUAGGAAACACCAGCCUAAAUCACCUAAGCGAGCCGCAGAGUCAAAGUCAAACUGCUCCGUUGCGCGUUUCUGCGGGGAAGGAUUCCUGGGUUUAAAACAUUAUUAUAUGUUAUUAUAUUUAAUAGAUAUUAUCGUGUAUCGUCUGGUCUGAAA